rnacentral:rRNA from 1 species
AACGUAGGAGGCGAGCGUUAUCCGGAGUUACUGGGCGUAAAGCGCGUGUAGGUGGUUGGAUACGUCUGCUGUGAAAUGUCCCGGCUUAACCGGGAGGGUGCGGCAGAUACGGUCUGACUUGAGGGCGACAGAGGAGCGUAGAAUUCCGGGUGUAGUGGUGAAAUGCGUAGAUAUCAGGAGGAACACCGAUGGCGAAGGCAGGUCACUGGGCCGCAACUGACGCUGAGGAGCGAAAGCAUGGGGAGCGAACAGG